CGAAGCUUCUGUCAGCCCACUGAUGUCGAGACAGGACAGAAUGACAUGCAAACACACACACACACACACACACACACACACUAUCAGCAUUGAAACAGGUGCAGGGAGGGAAACACUGUAACAAACUCAGGCCUGAUUAUGGCAGAGCAAGGUAUCGAGGGACCACAGUGACAGAGGAGAAGAGUCGAAAACAAGAAGAGAGAAUAAUGGAGAUAUAAUAGUGAGCAUUACGGUGGUGGGAUGAGAGAACAGUGUGACAGAGAAAAAGAAGCCAGCCCAGAGGGAGGCGAAACAGACAACCUUGAGAUAAUCUGUGGGACGGGCAGAGGGAGAAAAAUAACCUUAUCAGGGCAAGGAAAUAGAAGGCACACUGAGUGGCGAGAGGAUAUGAAAACACAGACGUGAAGGCAUAGAAGAAGGGGUGAAAAAAAAGCCUCAACAGAAAUAAGAGGAAAGCCUAUGAGGCCCAGGGUUUCGCCACGGAUGCGGGCGGCGCCGGAAGCCACCUCGCGGAUCUGCUCUACGCUCUGGACCCGCGUGCCCUCCCGGAGAGCCUGGUAGAGCCAGGUGUUUCGCCGAUAAAGGUUGAGGAUGUGGCACAGAGUGGAGUCUGCCGUCUCCUCCACAGCUGCCGAGGGAAUGUUACACACAGCAAUGCCUGAAGAAAGACACAAGACAGAACAGUUAAUAAAUAAUUAACUCUAA